AUGUAAUCUACAACACAAACGGUAGAAUAAAAUUGGAUAGAGAUAUAAAUG
rnacentral:guide_RNA from 1 species